rnacentral:rRNA from 1 species
GGCUUAACACAUGCAAGUCGAGCGGAAACGAUGAUAGCUUGCUAUCAGGCGUCGAGCGGCGGACGGGUGAGUAAUACUUAGGAAUCUACCUAGUAGUGGGGGAUAGCUCGGGGAAACUCGAAUUAAUACCGCAUACGUCCUACGGGAGAAAGCAGGGGAUCUUUGGACCUUGCGCUAUUAGAUGAGCCUAAGUCGGAUUAGCUAGAUGGUGGGGUAAAGGCCUACCAUGGCGACGAUCUGUAGCUGGUCUGAGAGGAUGAUCAGCCACACCGGGACUGAGACACGGCCCGGACUCCUACGGGAGGCAGCAGUGGGGAAUAUUGGACAAUGGGGGGAACCCUGAUCCAGCCAUGCCGCGUGUGUGAAGAAGGCCUUUUGGUUGUAAAGCACUUUAAGCAGUGAAGAAGACUCUUCGGUUAAUACCCGGGGACGAUGACAUUAGCUGCAGAAUAAGCACCGGCUAACUCUGUGCCAGCAGCCGCGGUAAUACAGAGGGUGCAAGCGUUAAUCGGAAUUACUGGGCGUAAAGCGAGCGUAGGUGGCUUGAUAAGUCAGAUGUGAAAUCCCCGGGCUUAACCUGGGAACUGCAUCUGAAACUGUUAGGCUAGAGUAGGUGAGAGGGAAGUAGAAUUUCAGGUGUAGCGGUGAAAUGCGUAGAGAUCUGAAGGAAUACCGAUGGCGAAGGCAGCUUCCUGGCAUCAUACUGACACUGAGGCUCGAAAGCGUGGGUAGCAAACAGGAUUAGAUACCCUGGUAGUCCACGCCGUAAACGAUGUCUACUAGUCGUUGGGUCCCUUGAGGACUUAGUGACGCAGCUAACGCAAUAAGUAGACCGCCUGGGGAGUACGGCCGCAAGGUUAAAACUCAAAUGAAUUGACGGGGGCCCGCACAAGCGGUGGAGCAUGU